rnacentral:rRNA from 1 species
AAAGAUUAAGCCAUGCAUGUCUAAGUAUAAGCAACUUGUACUGUGAAACUGCGAAUGGCUCAUUAAAUCAGUUAUCGUUUAUUUGAUAGUACCUUACUACAUGGAUACCUGUGGUAAUUCUAGAGCUAAUACAUGCUAAAAACCCCGACUUCAGGGAGGGGUGUAUUUAUUAGAUAAAAAACCAACGCCCUUCGGGGCUCCUUGGUGUAUCAUAAUAACUUAACGAAUCGCAUGGCCUUGCGCCGGCGAUGGUUCAUUCAAAUUUCUGCCCUAUCAACUUUCGAUGGUAGGAUAGUGGCCUACCAUGGUGG